rnacentral:rRNA from 1 species
CUACGGGUCGCACCAGUGGGGAAUAUUGCACAAUGGGCGCAAGCCUGAUGCAGCCAUGCCGCGUGUAUGAAGAAGGCCUUCGGGUUGUAAAGUACUUUCAGCGGGGAGGAAGGGAGUAAAGUUAAUACCUUUGCUCAUUGACGUUACCCGCAGAAGAAGCACCGGCUAACUCCGUGCCAGCAGCCGCGGUAAUACGGAGGGUGCAAGCGUUAAUCGGAAUGACUGGGCGUAAAGCGCACGCAGGCGGUUUGUUAAGUCAGAUGUGAAAUCCCCGGGCUCAACCUGGGAACUGCAUCUGAUACUGGCAAGCUUGAGUCUCGUAGAGGGGGGUAGAAUUCCAGGUGUAGCGGUGAAAUGCGUAGAGAUCUGGAGGAAUACCGGUGGCGAAGGCGGCCCCCUGGACGAAGACUGACGCUCAGGUGCGAAAGCGUGGGGAGCAAACAGGAUUAGAUACCCGUGUAGUC